GACUCUCGGCAACGGAUAUCUCGGCUCUCGCAUCGAUGAAGAACGUAG
rnacentral:rRNA from 1 species